GCUCAGGACGAACGCUGGCGGCGUGCCUAAUACAUGCAAGUCGAACGAACGGAGGAAGAGCUUGCUCUUCCAAAGUUAGUGGCGGACGGGUGAGUAACACGUGGGCAACCUGCCUGUAAGUUGGGGAUAACUCCGGGAAACCGGGGCUAAUACCGAAUGAUAGAGUGUGGCGCAUGCCASGCUCUUGAAAGAUGGUUUCGGCUAUCGCUUACAGAUGGGCCCGCGGUGCAUUAGCUAGUUGGUAGGGUAAUGGCCUACCAAGGCAACGAUGCAUAGCCGACCUGAGAGGGUGAUCGGCCACACUGGGACUGAGACACGGCCCAGACUCCUACGGGAGGCAGCAGUAGGGAAUCUUCCGCAAUGGACGAAAGUCUGACGGAGCAACGCCGCGUGUAUGAAGAAGGUUUUCGGAUCGUAAAGUACUGUUGUUAGAGAAGAACAAGGAUAAGAGUAACUGCUUGUCCCUUGACGGUAUCUAACCAGAAAGCCACGGC
rnacentral:rRNA from 1 species